CCUACGGGAGGCAGCAGUGAGGAAUAUUGGUCAAUGGACGAGAGGCUGAACCAGCCAAGUCGCGUGAAGGAAGACUGCCCUAUGGGUUGUAAACCUCUUUUGUCGAGGAGUAAAACGAGUCACGUGUGCCUUUUUGCAAGUACUCUAUGAAUAAGCAUCGGCUAACUCCGUGCCAGCAGCCGCGGUAAUACGGAGGAUGCGAGCGUUAUCCGGAUUUAUUGGGUUUAAAGGGUGCGCAGGCGGAGGUGUAAGUCAGCGGUAAAAUUGCGGGGCUCAACCCCGAAGUGCCGUUGAAAAUGGAUGCCUUGAGUGCGCGAGAGGUAGGCGGAAUGCGUGGUGUAGCGGUGAAAUGCAUAGAUAUCACGCAGAACGCCGAUUGCGAAGGCAGCAUACCGGCGCGCAACUGACGCUGAUGCACGAAAGCGUGGGUAUCGAACAGGAUUAGAUACCCGGGUAGUC
rnacentral:rRNA from 1 species